rnacentral:lncRNA from 1 species
UUGCGACUGACACAAGAAUGUGAGAAACUCAAAAAACUGAUGAGCAGCAACUCCACAGACAUUCUCCUCAACAUUGAGUGCUUUAUGUACGAUAAAGACGUAUGUGGGAAAAUGAACAGAGCAAAAUGAUACAGCAAAAUCAUACAAAAAAUUAUACAACAAUUACUACAAACACAAGCUGGAGGGUCCCUAUCAGACGUCUAUUAAUGCUCAAGUAAUGUAUCUUCCAUGUGGCUUUUCCCAGAUAACACGGCAUUACCUGUUGAGUGACAUGUAAUCUAUUUAGCUCACAGGGACUGUUACACUGUAAAAAAUUAUAUGCUGAAAAAGCCAUGACAACUUAUGUUUUGAAGUUACUUUAACUCAUAAAAAUAAUUUAAGCAAUUUCAACUUUUUUUUAUAAGUUAUACUAGAUUCAACUUGAUUUUUUAAGUCAGUUUAAUGUUACUGAAAUUCAAAGAGCCCAAUUUAGUUCAGUGAACUUAACAUUUUAAGUUGUAGCUUUUUGGCACUAACCGGCCAAAUCUCUGAACAUGGAUUCAUGCGCAGGAGUCAAAUUUGUACAUUAAUUUAAUAUCAGAGUCCCUUCCAAGAAAAAAAAUAUUCAGCAAAUCAAGACAUUAGACUCAUGUUUAAUACAUAAAGACAUCGCAGUGCAACAUCAAACAAGGAGACACGGGCAGACUAUACAGUGAACUAACUAAACCGCGGAGGAAUUUCAGACGAACAACUCAUGAACUUGAGGGAGCUGUCAGUUGGGCUGGCGGCGUGAAGAAGCAUAUUCAGCGUGGAUGAGGCGAGUGAAUGCUUGUGUAACAAUUGUUGGGAGAUUAUUGUUCAUUUUAGCAGAAUAGAGCAGAAUUAGUUAUGUUCUGUCAUUGUUUUCCAAACUGUGUUUAACAGUUACCUUUCAAGUUUUGUAUAUCUGAUACGGUGGCCACAGUGCUGUGCUGCAUCAGCACUGCAGAUUGUAAUGUAACGUUUGAGAUUUGACACAAAUGUGUUUCUCC